CUAUUUAAGAUAGCCAUGCACGUCUAAGUACAAACUAAAUGAUGGUGAAACUGCAAAUGGCUCAUUACAACGGUUAUGAUGUACCCGGGAGUUCCGAUGGAUAUUUCCAGUAACACUAGAACUAAUACAUGUCCCUGCGUUUAUUAGUUUCGCACAGUCCGUCGCUGAGUCAUGGUAAACAGUUGAUCGACUCGACGUCCCGGAACAGUUUCCGCCCCAUCAGCUUCGAUGGUUGGGUAUUGGCCUACCAUUGCAACAACGGGUAACGAGGAAUUAGGGUUUGAUUUCGGAGAGGGAGCCUGAGAAACGGCUACCACAUCUACGGAUGGCAGCAGGCGCGCAAAUUACCCAAUGCAGACACUGUGAGGUAGUGACGAGAAAUAAUAAAGCGGGACUUCUGUUUCGCUAUUAUAAUGAGGAAUAACCAAAGGUCAUUCCGAUUAGCAACUGAUGGGAAAGUCUGGUGCCAGCAGCCGCGGUAAUACCAGCGUCAGUAGCAU
rnacentral:rRNA from 1 species